GGCAGGGGUGCUUUUAUUUAUUUAUGCAAGCUGCUGAGAGUCCUGCAAAUGGAUCUCGUCGAACAGACACGGUUUCCACGACCAUAUUUCAGUGGGAUGUGAUGAGAGUGCCACAUGCUGAGUUCCUGCAGAAUCACUUCUUCAGAAGACAGAAAUUUCUAUUGGGUACUUGGAACCAAGCAAUAGGGAUGCCGUGCACUCUGUUAACAUCACUUGCUCCUUGUUGCAGAAAAGCAGCAAUCAGCACCCUGACCACAACCACGGGGAGCAGCAACGGGGC